rnacentral:lncRNA from 10 species
CCCUCUCUGUGAUCUCCCUGGUCCUUUCCUGAUCGCUGGGCUCCCUUUUUCGGGCCUCUGGCCAAAAACUUGGUGUUGUAGUUACCCUGCUCUGCCGUGCACUUCCUACAACUGCACCCACAGUCGCGGCCAAGCAGCGAAGAUUUAAGAAAGUAAGAAAGCGUGACGGUUUGCUCCACUCUUUUGGGCUAUAGCUCCUCCAAUCAGAAAAGGAAGGUUCUCUGCAUGUCCCACUUUAUGUGAAAUCUAACAAAGUUGAACUCGUAGAAGUAGAGUGUAGAAAGAGAUUGGGGCCGGGGAGGAAGGGAAUGGGCAGUUACUGGUCAAAGGGUACAAAGUUUCAGAUAGGUAGGAGGAAUGUUUUGAAAUCUAUUGCAUAGCAGGGCGACUAUAGUCAAUAAUAAAGUAUUGCAUAUUUCAAAAUCACUGAAAGGGUAAAUUUCAAAUGUCUACCAUAAAAAUGAUAGGUAAAAGAAGUGCAUUUAAUUUUUCUUUUACCACUUUUCUUACUCUGUUAUCUUCAGCUCAGGAGUAUCUAACCUGCAAAGAUCUUAAUUAAGGCUUUGGCUUUCGACUUAAAAGUCUCCAUAAAGGAACGCUACGCAUCAUCCUGAAAAUAAAGAUCAAAGUCCACAGCCAGUGGUGAAGAAACAUUAAUAAGAGAAUCAGUCAGCCUAGUUUUUUUGAGGAAAUCUGUGCACAGAUCCCAAGUCUACACAUAAACCAAAAAGCCAAAGUAAAGUUAACUGUAUUUGAGCAGUGUGGGCAGCCCAGCCAGCCACAGUAACUGAAGCUGGAAGAAUUACUCCCUACACACAGGGCUCGUGUUCUCUAGAUCAACCAGACACAUCACAGACUCUGUUGUUGAGGUUCUUUCAUUUCCUCAGGCCAGUUAGCCCUUGGCUAGUAGCCAGAGCUGUACAUUAACUGCCCCUACAUUUUUAAAAUCAUUGCUUAUGAAUUUCUAUGUAUUAACUUAGAGAAAUGUAAUUCUAGUUCCCAUCUUAGAGGAAUGGUCUCUUCUUAAUGUCUUUGUGUUCUAAAUAUUUGAUCAUGUCAACAAAAAAUGGCUUAAUCAUCUUUGAUAAAUUCCUGGAAUUAUGAAAUUUAAUUACCAAAGGCCCUGACAUAUUUUUAAGUAGUUAUAAGUCAUUACUACUCUCAGUAUUUUGGUGGGAAAGAGCAUAUUCUGUCUGUCAUCUAACCAUGUUCACCAUUUUCCCUGUGUUUUUAAAAAGCAGGAAAAGAAGUUCUCUUAUACAAUUAAGGGGGCGUUGAAUGUGCCAGGAUGUAAAUCAGCAUCUUGCGAAGUUUUGUUUGCAACAUGUAUAAUGAAAACUGGAGACUAAGAACAGAAACUUUACAACGAAGUAGAUUCUACAAAGCAGCCUAAGUGUAAAGCUUCAGCCUGGACCCUCGUUGAAUUUGACAGCAAAGUGUCAUGGUUCCAAGACAGCAUCUGAUUCCGGUUCCCUGCUGUGGGUCUGGUUUUGUGUGGUUGUAGCAGAAUUAUGAGAACAAGCCUCCCUCAAUUUGGGCUACACUGUCCACAGUCACAGAGCAUCUUCCAGAGAAGAAAACACCUGCAAUGAUGAGACAGAAGGAGAACGGUGGCAUCUCUCACUGUAAAGGAAAGAACACUGGGGCCACAAAGUGUCAUCAGCCAUGUUCCUCUCCAGUCCAAGGACUCCCAGACACUUAGUGUUCCAGCUCCUGAGUGAAAAUGUUAACCAUCAGCACACUCUCAAAGGUUAGAUUAAGGAAAAUAAUGCCUGGAAAAUCUUUUGUUUUAGUACAGGGCUGAGAAAACUUGAUGGUAAAUAAUAGAGGUUUCCCAGGCCAAUAAGCAAAAUUGAAGAUAUAUGUAGGCGUUUACAUAACAAAGAUCACUCACUCUAGGAAGUCAGCUGCCAUGUCAUGAUGAUGCUCAAGCAGCCUUGUGGAAAAGCUUCACAAGGAGAGGAACUGAGGCCUCCUGUCAACAGCCAUGAGAGGGGGCUGUCUUAAAAGCAGAUCCUCCAUCCCCAGUCAAGCCUUCAGAUGACGGCAGCCCCUGUGGACAUCUUGACCACAACUUCAUGAGACCCUAAGCCAGAAACACUCAGCUAAACUGCCCUGGAUUUCUGACUCUCAGAAACUGUGAGAUAAUAAAUGUGUGUUAUUCUAAACUAACAGUCUAGAAUAAACUGUUAUGCAGCAAUAAAUAACCAAGACAGUGGAUUUUUAUAAAAGACACUUUAAAAAUCAGUCUUAACUUCUGGUGCCAUCUGGUGUGCAUGUUCAGCUGCCUCCUUGAAUAUGCACUUGGAUGUCUCACACAUAUCUCAAAGAAACAUGAUGUUCUCCAAACUUGCUCCUUUAGAGUUUGUCCAUCCUAGGCCUCCUUUAAUUCCACACCUCAGGAAUGACUCCAUCAUAAUCUAGAAGAUCUAGAAGUUACUUCUUUUUUUUUUUUUUUGAGAUGAAGUCUCACUCUGUCACCCAGGCUGGAGUGCAGUGGCACAAUCUCAGCUCACUGCAAACUUCACUUCCUGGGUUCAAGCAAUUCUUCCUCAGCCUCCUGAGUAGCUGGGAUUACAGGCAAAAGCCACCAUAUCCGGCUAAUUUUUGUAUUUUUAGUAGAGAUAGGGUUUCACCAUGUUGACCAGGCUAGUCUCAAACUCCUGACCUCAGGUGAUCUGCCCGCCUCGGCAUCCCAAAGUGCUGAGAUUACAGGUAUGAGCCACUGUACUCGGCCAGAAGUCACUUCUUUUGCUUCGUUUCCUCACUCUGCCCACCCACUAUGCAGAUAGUAUGCACACACACACAUGCAUGCACACACACACACAUUCAUCCACACCUCCAGUUAUCACCUACAUCUUAGAGGGCAUGCAUUUCUCACCACCAACUAGUGUCACGCCUUGCCUCAGUUGGGGAAAGGCCCCCUAAUUGGUCUCCUGGCUUCCCACUCAACCCCAUCUUCUACUCAAUAGUGAGAGUCACUUUCCAAUGAGAACUAGAUCAUGCCACCACCUGGCACAAAUCUCCCCAAGGCCUGCCUUUGAAAUGAGAAUGAGAUCCCAGCUUUCCACAGAGGCAGUGAGCCCCUGGCAUGGUCUGCCCUCGGCCUGCCCAUCCCACCUCACCCCUCCUGCUCCCCUCCUCUGUGCUUAUCCACCCCACGCCUCUUCCCCCUCAGAGCUCAGCACACACUGCUCCCUCAGCCUAGAGCAUUCCUCCCCAAGUCACAUGGCUUCCUCCCCACACCCCUGGAACCCACCUUAAAUGUUUUCUCCUGUCUGGCCUUCCCAGCCUCCUCAUCUAAAGUAAACCCGCCUGUUAUUUUAUUUCUCAGUCUACUGUUUAUUUGCAUCACAAUACUUCAUGCAAGUUAAAGUAUUUGAUUCAUUAUAUUUUGUCUGUCCAUGGACCAAGCCAUAGACGAGCCACAGUUUACUGACAGGAGCAGCCACUUGGGAGUCCCCAGACUUGGGUUCACACACCGGCCCCCAUGAGUUCAGCUGAGCAGGUCAUACUGUAGCAUACGAUGGGAACUGGUGGGGCCUCUCCAUCACCUUGUCCAAGCCCCUGCAGACAGAGGUGUGCUAUGGCCAUCAAAUGAGGGGGUUUUGAGUAGUCCAAGGGCUACAGAUGCCAGUCUCCUGCUUCUGAACCUCAACACAGAAACCGUGUGUACUGAGCCAGUGUACUUAGUUUGUAUUUCUGUUUUUCAAUGCCUAGGAACCCUAAGUGACAUU